rnacentral:rRNA from 1 species
UACGUAGGGUCCAAGCGUUAUCCGGAAUCACUGGGCGUAAAGCGUGCGCAGGUGGUCUGUUAAGUGAGAUGUUAAAUCGUGUGGCUCAACCAUAUCGAUGCAUCUCAUACUGGCAGACUAGAGGAAGGCAGAGGCAAGUGGAAUUGGUAGUGUAGCAGUGAAAUGCGUAGAUAUUACCAGGAACACCAAUGGCGAAGGCAGCUUGCUGGGCCUUAUCUGACACUCAGGCACGAAAGCGUGGGGAGCGAACAGG